GAUCAUGGCUCAGGAUGAACGCUAGCUACAGGCUUAACACAUGCAAGUCGAGGGGCAGCAUGGUCUUAGCUUGCUAAGGCCGAUGGCGACCGGCGCACGGGUGAGUAACGCGUAUCCAACCUGCCUUACACUCUUGGACAGCCUUCUGAAAGGGAGAUUAAUACAAGAAUGUUAUUCAUGAGUAAGACAUUUCGUUCACUGAUUAAAGGUUUUAACCGGUUUACGGUUAAGAAUAGGGAGGUGCG
rnacentral:rRNA from 1 species